GGCUGGUCUGAGGGCAGUGGUAUUUACAACUAAUUGAUCACACUCAGUUACAGAUUUCUUUGUUCCUGCUCCACACCUGCUGCUUCAUUUGAUUAGUCUUUU
rnacentral:Y_RNA from 1 species